CCCUUAGAUGUCCUGGGCCGCACGCGCGCUACACUGAUGCAUGCAACGAGUUUAUAACCUUGGCCUGAAAGGUCUGGGUAAUCUUUUGAACGUGCAUCGUGAUAGGGAUAGAUUAUUGCAAUUGUUAAUCUUGAACGAGGAAUUCCUAGUAAACGCGAGUCAUCAGCUCGCAUUGAUUACGUCCCUGCCCUUUGUACACACCGCCCGUCGCACCUACCGAUUGAAUGGUUCGGUGAAGAUCUCGGACUUCGAUAUUUAUUCUUUAUUGAGUUUACAUUGUGGGAAGUUAUCUAAACCUCAUCAUUUAGAGGAAGGUGAAGUCGUAACA
rnacentral:rRNA from 1 species